UCACAAUACCUACUCCCCUUAAACCAAGACCUAUAGGGAGGAUAAAUUACGUCUUUCAUAUCCGAAAGUGAGGGAUUUUCGGAAAUAAGUUUCGCUC
ncrna:unclassified sequences PhotoRC-II RNA